UCUUUAGAAGAAAGAUAUUUCACCAUUUUUUAAUCUUUAGGUAAAGUUAGUGGCUACUUCUCAGAUCUACAAUCAAGUUACCCCAAAUCAAAUCCCCUAUCUCUCUCGAUUUCCAGCGAAGCUAUGCUCUGAUCACUUGCCUGCGUCUGAUUAUGAUUUACAGUGCGAAGGAGUUUUUGGAAGAUGGGGUUUAUAUACCCACUGAUGUAAAGGUGAAGCAGAUGAAGAGGGCAAGGUCGGAUUGCUUGAAGGUGCAGAAGAAGUUUAGCAAGGAUAGGGAUCCUGUGGUGAUUGCUUAUGAGGUUAGGGAUAAACCCUCGGCGUUGAAGGCGGAGGAUUGGGACUGGGUUGUGGUGGUUUUUGUCUUGUUGAGAUUUUCAAUUAGAGUAAGUGGAAACUUUCAGUUCUAAGGUUUUAAUUGCAUUGAGAAAUUGUUAUCUUGGUCAUUGAGAUUGUAGCUUUCUGAAUUUGUUUUAUGUGACUUCUGAAAGCGCAUUCUAGCUGUUAUGGAUUGUGUUGUUUGUGUAUGUUGUCUUGUGAUGCAGUUAUGGGGGUUUUCAUGAGAUUCGAAGAUGAUAGUGUGGAGUUAGAGCAAAGAUUGUGAACCCGUGGAAUGUGAAGAUCAUCUCGGUUGGUUGGUAGAAUUUAUUUGAUUUAAUGUGUUACCAGUAAAAGUUCCACUAAGUUAUGCUCGUAGGAAAAAUCAAAUUAAUUGUCUUAAUUUGCUGCUGCAAUGGAAAAAUGGUUCCCCUUCAUUUAUGCUUAUAGGAAAUUCAGAAUCAUUCAGCUUUCAAGGUCAAUGGUUUGUUAGACCCUUGGAACCAUUAUGCACACAAGUAGUUGAUUAGUUACCCCUUCCUUUGUGCUUUAAUUAUCUUGAUUUGUAUUGCGACGAUGAAAAAGGAUUGCUGUUAUUGACCUGUAAGAAUUUCACUGCAUCGAAUACGUAUAUUUACCAAAAUAAAAAGUACAUGGGAGGGGGAGAUUGCUCAUGAAUUUCUAAGAUUGGUCCUGAUUGUAUAAUGGUUUGCACAAAUUGGUUGCCUAUGUUGUGAAGCCUACGUACCAAAUAAUUUUCACACACCGUAUCAUUAUUUAAGAUUUGCAUAGAAAAAGGAGGACACACUUGUUAUUGCAAAGGGAAACUCUUUUUUGUUAAUAGCUUGUCUUAUAUGAAAGUGUUCUCUCAUGGUUUUGUCGCUUAUCCUGUGCUUCUGACUGCAAAUUCCUUGUCCGCAGUGAUAUGCCUCUCAGAGUGCUUCCCAAGUUUAUUGGGGUUCAACUUGUUAACUUUCAUAUUCAAUUGUAUUUCAAGAACACUGCACCUCCCAUUGAGGCAUUGAUGUUUGAAUUUGAUGCGGAGAAUAAGGGUGACAAUGGAGAUCUUCACGCAACCUACACUGGUAAAGGGAAAGGAAACGACUUUGAAUCAUUAAUUACCAGUAAGAGUUCCAUUGAAUUAGAUACUUUUAAUUCCCAGUCAAUAGGUGGGCAUACCUCCGUUUUAAUUUGAGCCUCUAUGCAGAGGACUAAGAGUAUAGCUGCUGUAAGGAGUGACAUAAUUACCAGCAGGGUUAAGGGGAGGAAGUUAAUUGUUGAACCAACAAGCCAAUCUGGAGUGACAUAAUUCCUGUAGGAUUAUAGAUGAUACAAGUGUUUAGGAUAAUGUAUAUCUGUUUAAAUACUAGAAGUGAAAUACAUUCUUCAUUCUCAAAGAAACCAAAUAAAUGUUUUUGGAUUUGUCAA